rnacentral:rRNA from 1 species
AUUUAUGGCCAUACUACUGUGAACAAGCCCAAUCUACUCAGAUCUUGGAAGCUAAACAGGGUUGUGCCUGGUUAGUACUUAGAUGGGAGAACAGUAUCAUAUAGC